GACGUAGGGGGCAAGCGUUGUCCGGAAUCAUUGGGCGUAAAGCGCUCGUAGGUGGAUCGGUAAGUCUGCAAAGAAAGACCCGGGCUCAACUCGGGGAACGGUGUGGAUACUACCGAUCUUGAGGCAAUCAGAGGAUGAUGGAAUUCCCGGUGUAGCGGUGAAAUGCGUAGAUAUCGGGAGGAACAUCAGUGGCGAAAGCGGCUUCCUGGUCCAGCACCGACGUUCAGGCACGAAAGCGUGGGGAGCAAACAGG
rnacentral:rRNA from 1 species